GACAGAGGCCCCGAGCGUUAGGCGGAAUCACUGGGCUUAAAGCGUGUGUAGGCGGACCCCUAAGUGUCUUGUGAAAUCCCACGGCUCACCCGUGGAACUGCUGGGCAUACUGGGGGUCUUGGGCCGUUCAGGGGCGACUGGAACAAGCGGUGGAGCGGUGAAAUGCGUAGAGAUCGGGAGGAACAUUAGUGGCGAAGGCGGCCAUCUGGGACAACACUGACGCUGAAGCACGAAAGCGUGGGGAGUAAACAGG
rnacentral:rRNA from 1 species